GACGAACGCUGGCGGCAUGCCUAAUACAUGCAAGUCGAGCGAACAGAUGAAGUGCUUGCACUUUUGACGUUAGCGGCGAACGGGUGAGUAACACGUAAGGAAUCUACCUAUAAGCGGAGGAUAACAUUCGGAAACGGGUGCUAAUACCGCAUAAUAUCUUCUUCCGCAUGGAAGAAGAUUGAAAGACGGCUCUGCUGUCACUUAUAGAUGACCUUGCGGUGCAUUAGUUAGUUGGUGGGGUAACGGCCUACCAAGACGAUGAUGCAUAGCCGACCUGAGAGGGUGAUCGGCCACAUUGGGACUGAGGCACGGCCCAAACUCCUACGGGAGGCAGCAGUAGGGAAUCUUCCGCAAUGGGCGAAAGCCUGACGGAGCAAUGCCGCGUGAGUGAAGAAGGCCUUCGGGUCGUAAAACUCUGUUAUAAGAGAAGAACAAAUUGUAGAGUAACUGCUACAGUCUUGACGGUAUCUUAUCAGAAAGCCACGGCUAACUACGUGCCAGCCGCCGCAGUAA
rnacentral:rRNA from 1 species